rnacentral:rRNA from 1 species
AACGAACGCUGGCGGCAUGCCUAACACAUGCAAGUCGAACGAGACCUUCGGGUCUAGUGGCGCACGGGUGCGUAACGCGUGGGAACCUGCCUUUAGGUUCGGAAUAACUCAGAGAAAUUUGAGCUAAUACCGGAUGAUGUCUUCGGACCAAAGAUUUAUCGCCUUUAGAUGGGCCCGCGUUGGAUUAGCUAGUUGGUGGGGUAAAGGCCUACCAAGGCGACGAUCCAUAGCUGGUCUGAGAGGAUGGUCAGCCACACUGGGACUGAGACACGGCCCAGACUCCUACGGGAGGCAGCAGUGGGGAAUAUUGGACAAUGGGCGAAAGCCUGAUCCAGCAAUGCCGCGUGAGUGAUGAAGGCCUUAGGGUUGUAAAGCUCUUUUACCCGAGAUGAUAAUGACAGUAUCGGGAGAAUAAGCUCCGGCUAACUCCGUG